GUGUUCACUUCUGCAGCACAUAUACUAAAAAAAUACUGGAAUGAUACAGAGAAGACUACCAUGGCCCUAGAACAAGGAUGACAUGCAAAUUUGUGCAUUGUUCCAUAUUUUU
ensembl:snRNA U6 U6 spliceosomal RNA